rnacentral:piRNA from 1 species
UGGAUAAACAUGGUGGUUUGGUUCCCGUGC